UGGGGAAUAUUGCACAAUGGGGGAAACCCUGAUGCAGCGACGCCGCGUGAGCGAUGAAGGCUUUCGAGUCGUAAAGCUCUGUCCUAUGGGAAGAUAAUGACGGUACCAUAGAAGAAAGCCCCGGCUAAUUACGUGCCAGCAGCCGCGGUAAUACGUAAGGGGCGAGCGUUGCCCGGAAUUAUUGGGCGUAAAGAGUGCGUAGGCGGCAAAUUAAGUCAGAUGUGAAAACUAAGGGCUCAACCCAUAGAUUGCAUCUGAAACUGAUAUGCUUGAGUCAAUGAGAGGAAAGUGGAAUUCCUAGUGUAGCGGUGGAAUGCGUAGAUAUUAGGAGGAAUACCGGUGGCGAAGGCGACUUUCUGGACUUGAACUGACGCUGAGGCACGAAAGCGUGGGGAGCAAACAGG
rnacentral:rRNA from 1 species